ensembl:snRNA U1 U1 spliceosomal RNA
AUACUUACCUGGCAGGGGAGAUACCAUGAUCACGAAGGUGGUUUUCCCAGGGCGAGGCUUAUCCAUUGCACUCCGGAUGUGCUGACCCCUGCGAUUUCCCCAAAUGUGGAAAACUCGACUGCAUAAUUUGUGGUAGUGGGGGACUGCGUUCGCGCUCUCCCCUG